rnacentral:rRNA from 1 species
CGCGUGAGGAACCUGCCCUGGAGUGGGGAAUAACACAGUGAAAAUUGUGCUAAUACCGCAUAAUGCAGUUGAGUCGCAUGGCUCUGACUGCCAAAGAUUUAUCGCUCUGGGAUGGACUCGCGUCUGAUUAGCUGGUUGGUGGGGUAACGGCCCACCAAGGCGACGAUCAGUAGCCGGACUGAGAGGUUGGCCGGCCACAUUGGGACUGAGACACGGCCCAGACUCCUACGGAAGGCAGCAG